UCUCUCAGCCCAAACAUGGUUGAGGCACUUGUGUGUGCCUCUAGCUACAUCAAAGGAUCAAAAGAAGACCAGCUUAAGACUACAAUUACAGUGGAAGAAGGCAAUGAUGACGAUGUCGAGUUCAUUCCAUUUCCUGAAGAUACGACAGAAAGCAACUAGAAGAUGAAAUGGAUGAACUGAUGAGCCAGCUUAUGUGAGGAGCAGAAGCUACUUUGCAUUUGCUCAGCUAGAAGCUACCAUUUUAUUUUGGUCAUUGUUAGUUAUGCAAGACCUUAUGUUGAUGAAGUGUCGUGCUGAAGUGGCGAAGUAGUUAAUAUAAUA